rnacentral:rRNA from 1 species
GAGUGAACGCUGGCGGUAGGCCUAACCCAUGCAAGUCGAACGGCAGCACAGUAAGAGCUUGCUCUUACGGGUGGCGAGUGGCGGACGGGUGAGGAAUACAUCGGAAUCUACUUUUUCGUGGGGGAUAACGUAGGGAAACUUACGCUAAUACCGCAUACGACCUACGGGUGAAAGCAGGGGAUCUUCGGACCUUGCGCGAUUGAAUGAGCCGAUGUCGGAUUAGCUAGUUGGCGGGGUAAAGGCCCACCAAGGCGACGAUCCGUAGCUGGUCUGAGAGGAUGAUCAGCCACACUGGAACUGAGACACGGUCCAGACUCCUACGGGAGGCAGCAGUGGGGAAUAUUGGACAAUGGGCGCAAGCCUGAUCCAGCCAUACCGCGUGGGUGAAGAAGGCCUUCGGGUUGUAAAGCCCUUUUGUUGGGAAAGUAAAGCAGCAGGUUAAUACCCCGCUGUUCUGACGGUACCCAAAGAAUAAGCACCGGCUAACUUCGUG